rnacentral:rRNA from 1 species
GACAGAGGGGGCAAGCGUUGCUCGGAAUUACUGGGCGUAAAGGGCGCGUAGGCGGGAUGGCAAGUCGGUCGUGAAAUCCCUCGGCUCAACUGAGGAUCGUCGAUCGAUACUGCCGUUCUUGAGGAUUGCAGAGGAGACUGGAAUUCCUGGUGUAGCGGUGAAAUGCGCAGAUAUCAGGAGGAACACCGAUGGCGAAGGCAGGUCUCUGGGCCGAUACUGACGCUGAGGAGCGAAAGCGUGGGGAGCGAACAGG